GCCUGGCUGGCUCAGUCGGUUAGAGCAUGAGACUCUUGAUCUCAGGAGCCAUGAGUUUGAGCCCCAUGUUGGGCG
rnacentral:tRNA from 1 species